GUGGUGCAGAAUCGCUGUUGCUGUUUGUUGGUGUUGGUGUUGCGGCAGCAGCAACGGCAUCAGUACGUGCAAUUUCCAUGUGCGCGUUUGACACAGACAAUUAAGUGGGGCGAGAGGGGGGGUGGGAGCGGGGGUUGAAGUAGUCUCAGUCCCCCUCUUUCCCUCAGGAUCACCGUGCACCAUCACUUGUGGGAAGAGGAAAGGAAAGGAUAAAGGAAAGGAGUGUGUGAAGAAGAUACGACAGGAUGGGUACAGAGCACUCACUCGGUGUGUGUACGAGGUUUCCGGGUUGUAUGAAGACGGACGCCAACACCAAGAGAUGGGUACCGAGAGGUCUCCCACCCAGAAAAACAAAGUGGGUCGCCUCCUCAAGCCUCUCAACGAGGGUCUUUCCUUUUUGAGCUGUCGUAUGCCGAUCCGAGGCGCCUUUUGAUGACGCCCCCCUCCCAUCCCCCUGACUGAGCUCCGUUGGAAGCAAGCUCUACGGCAGCUUUUUUCCCCUGAUGCAGAUAGUCGUCGCUUCCUACCUCCUCUGUUUUUUUUCUUUUUUUUCCACGCUUUGUGGUGUAUGGCACUGUCUCCAAACGCGAGAAGAGGGCUGAGAUAGGUUUGGAGUGUGGAGUGUGGGCAAUUGAUCUACUUUCGUUGUGCAUUGCGCUUCCCAUCGCUACCGUGUCUGCUGCAACUGCGCAUGAGUUGAGGUGAGGCCUCAGCUCUUGGAAACCUUUACUUCUACAAACAACCGCACAGGUAUAGAAUACAGUCACGUUUGAGCACUAUCAAAGUGUCAGGAAGAUACCGAAUAGCAUGACAGAUUCGUGAAUUAUGAUUUGUAAUCACGCUUUAGACUCGCACCUAAAGUAGUCACUGCAAAUAUAUAUAUAUAUAUAUAUAUAUAUAUAUAUAUAAACUUUUUAGUACCGAUCGCUCGCGAUAACUCAUCCUUUUUAACUCAACCCUAAACAUGGUUUAGAACAUGUCCUCCCUCAGUAUUCCUGGUUGGAGGCUUAGUAUGUGAAAGCUCGCUAGUCUGCUACAAAACAUUCACUGGAAUGAGGGAUUUUUUUUUUCCUGAUUUGUGCACUUGAAUUAGAGUCGUUGAAGAGUCAAAAUUAACCGGGUAGUGGGCGUACACGAAUAGAACAUGGUGAAGAGGAGAUGGUGUUUUGAAUAGAACAAGCAUCAGCAGCCCAUGCGAGUUGAUUGUAAACUUGUUGUAAUAUAAAUCAUGGACUGCUGAUUCUGAUUCUGAUUCUGAUUAGGUGAUUUAUUUGUAUUUUAAGACACGGGUAGUUUCUGAUCAAAUGUGCGAACUCUUAUAUGACGGGAUACAUUUUGUUAUAUAGUAUUUUCAUUCAUGUUUUAAAAGCUUUGCAUAGCACUUCCAGUUCAUUUUAAGGAGAUGACCUUCGUAGUAUUGUCAUUGUCUCACAGACUGUGAUUAUAUGGAAUAUUUGCAGAUAUCAAAGUCUUAUAUAUGUCAACAUGAGGACAUAAUGUAAUUUUCAGUUUUACUGAUAGAUCCAUACUCUACAGUCUUGUUUUCUUGUGUAGUGAUUGUUGAUUGUAGUUGCUAGUUCCACAACAGAUUUAAUAAUAACGAAUUUUAAAUUCAGCAUCUUGUAAGUAUUUUAAUUUACUUCAGUAAUCAAAAAGACAUUGAUCAAGUAGUCACAAACUGUGUUUACUUGAUUUAAAAGUCACGUAUUAUUUAAUCUAA